rnacentral:lncRNA from 1 species
GUUUGGGAUAGAGAAAAUAUACAACAGCAAAAUUAGACAAGACACAACCUGAAAAGGAAGGAUUUCUAAUUUGAAAAUUAAUGAAGUUUUUUUUCCAUUGAUCUUUCUGUAUGAUAGUUUUCUGUAUCAAGCUACUAGAUAGAGACAGUUUUUUUCUCAGUCAAGUAGAGUGAGAAUGUAACUACAUCCCAACCUGUUAUUGCAGUUGCCUCAGAAAAUAGUGAUAGAAAAUUAUCUGUGGUCCUUCAAAUUUGACGCAGCUAUCAAGAUACAAAUACAAAACAAAGAACUGUGACUUCUUCUCUUUGUAGAUUACAGGAAAAGUUUAUCUUAUGCAAAAUUUCCUCUCCUUAGGGUGAAUAUGCAUGGUGAACACACAAUAGAGUCUGUAUUAUUUGAUUUACAUUAAGUACAUAUAUAAAUUGAGUGCUUGGUUUUUAAUUGAAGUAUAAACUAUAAUUAGUAAAAAGCUAAAAUAAAAGCUGGCACAGCAUGAAAGAUAUGAAAGGAUGAUUAUUUUAAUUCUUUCAAGAAAACAUUUACAGACUCAACAAAUGAGACUAUUAUGACCACAUUUAAUGUCACUCUAUAUAUGCAAUCUGUA